UGCUGCAUUGUUCUGGCUUAGCUAGCCUGUUGGCAUUAUUCCUUCGACCCACUGACCUGGCGAUUUAGGCCUUGUUUAGUUCCUAAAACUUUUUCUAAAAUUUUUCAGAUUUCCGUCACAUCAAAUCUUGUGGCACAUGCAUAGAGUAUUAAAUACAGAUAAAAAAAUAAUUAAUUAUACAGUUUGCUUGUAAUUUACGAGACGAAUCUUUUGAGUCUAGUUAGUCCAUGAUUU
rnacentral:lncRNA from 1 species